CCUACGGGUGGCAGCAGUGGGGAAUCUUCCGCAAUGGGCGAAAGCCUGACGGAGCAACGCCGCGUGAUCGAAUGAAGGCCUUCGGGUUGUAAAGAUCUUUUGUCAGGGACGAAGCAAGUGACGGUACCUGACGAAUAAGCCACGGCUAACUACGUGCCAGCAGCCGCGGUAAUACGUAGGUGGCAAGCGUUAUCCGGAUUUACUGGGUGUAAAGGGCGUGUAGGCGGGACUGCAAGUCAGAUGUGAAAACCACGGGCUCAACCUGUGGCCUGCAUUUGAAACUGUAGUUCUUGAGUACUGGAGAGGCAGACGGAAUUCCUAGUGUAGCGGUGAAAUGCGUAGAUAUUAGGAGGAACACCAGUGGCGAAGGCGGUCUGCUGGACAGCAACUGACGCUGAGGCGCGAAAGCGUGGGGAGCAAACAGGAUUAGAUACCCCGGUAGUC
rnacentral:rRNA from 1 species